UGUCAUAGCUCAGUUGGUAGAGCAAAGGACUGAAAAUCCUUGUGUCCCCGGUUCGAUUCCUG
rnacentral:tRNA from 1 species